rnacentral:lncRNA from 1 species
CUCAAAGCAUGAAAUAUGAAUAUGGAGAGCAGUAAUGUUUUCCUUGGCAGAUCAGGAAUGCUUAAAAUCAUCUUCCCUGCCUGACUGUCCUUUGAACAUGGCCCUCUGUGCUGUGAAGUUGUUUAUCUCUGUGCUUUGCCCCUGUAACUGUGUCAUUAAUGCCAUUGCUCUCUUUAGAAUUCUGCAUGGUGUGUGGAUCCCUGUGAUAGAAGGCUAAUGAAAAACUAAGGGUAAAAUCCUGAUUUAAAAUAGGUGGCAAUGCAUUCAUCCUGCUAAGCACAGCCUCUCUGGGAAUCACAGGAGAGUCAGUCCUAAAUGAAAUGUUAGGGUGUGUGUGAAGUAAGCUGGCUCCACUGAGUUAUUAACAGAUCCCGCAUAGAAAAUCAUUCACUGACAUCUUUAAGGGACUGGGCCUGAAAAUUUCUGUCCCUUUAUAAACCUCUGGAUCUGAAGGUAACGUUCUGCAGCAUGUUCACAAAAGAAAGAGGAGUCACUGUUGACAGCUCUGUGUAAAUGCCAGCUCCAUGAUCAGUGGAAGCCAGAAAGUCUAACAAAAGGAAAAAGAAUGUCAAGAGCUUUUUUGGCCAUCUUGUUGAGAUGAUGUUCAGCCAGAAAAUAGAGGACAAAAAGACUACUCAAGGCCAUUGAAAACAUAAAAAUCGGGAAAAAAAAAUUAAAUUAGUUGACAAGAGCUGAAGAAGUUUCUGACGAGAAGAUUUAGGUAUCCUCUGAAUGUCUCGUGUAAAAGCAGCGAGGACUAUUGGAAAACCUACCAAGAUAUUUAUGGAGGUUUGUAUAGGAAUUCUCAAAUCUGGGAGAUAAUGACUCAUAUUUAUUUCAACAAAUAUUUUAUUUAUAGAUAGUUUAUAAUUGCAGACUGAGGUUACCAAAGAAAAGGAAUAGGAGGAAAAUGCAGACACUCCUUGCUUUAACAUGAAGAGAAUAAAUGAGUCUUAGUACUGCUCAAUAACAAGAUUAGGACCUAGUGUUCCCUCAAACCCAUCAAUAUUCCAGAACCUUGCCACUUUAUCUACUUUCAAAUUAAACCCAGUAAUGAUUUCUCUAUGAUAACUCUGGUGAUAAAACUGCAGAACUAUAUAUUUAAAUGAAAACAUAAGGUUUUGGUGAAGGCUCUGCUCCAGCAUUUGAAUAAUAAUGAAGUACUUCCCUUUGCAGGGCUCAGUCAUUAGCACAUUCCACUGAGUUUAGGAGAAAGCAAUGCCCUCGUCUGGGCAUGUCCAAGGAAUAUAAGAAUUUCCAAAGCAGAAGGAGAAAGCCAGUAGUUCCGGGGAAGGAAAUUUGAAACUACCUCUUAUUGGAAGCUAUCAAUAAAAAAUGCUUGAAGAAUAGAAGAUGAAGCUGAAGCCACAUUUAAUCAACGCCCCCUCCCCCCCACCCCUAAAAAAAAAAAAAAAAAAGUUGGGGGCUUAAAAAGGAGCAGAAGCUGGCAAAUUCAGACUUCUGUGAGGCAAGUUAAGGACAUAGGAUUUGCAUAGAAUGAGACUGACAAGGCCAUGAAGCAUCUAAUCAGCUUGUCAGCUGCAUCCUGCAGGUUGCUACGACAAAAGAUUUUCUCCAAAAUAUACAGGAUGCCAUGGAGACUGACUGAAAAAAAGCUCUUAAUCCCUGCUUUGCUGGUGCUGACAGGAGAAUAGAUCUCUAGACACAUAGCAUAUUUGGUAAGCAGGAAGCUGGAGACUGAGGUGGUCAAAAGGGUGAAAACUUGCCUGUCUGUGGCAGUCCAGCUUUUCCUCAUAACUAUAUCACAGGAUAUUAAUUUGCCAAACAGGCUAUAAUCCAGCUACAAAAAUCUGGGCUUUGGGGAUUGCUAGUCAUGAAGCACAUGACUUUACAGAAAAGCUGGUGAAUGGUUUUAUGCCAGGAACGGUGCAAAAUAAACUCACUUAGCAACCUGAGAGAAUAUUUACAGUCUACAGAUUUAACUACACAGAUGUAGAGGAAGGUGAGCCCUCCAUCUUCUGUAAUUUGAGACGACUCAAAGAAUGCUUCUUGGAGAGAAUUCCAUUUUAAUUUUUUCCCUGUUUUUUACUUAAUACACUUCUAAUGCCGUACACUUGUGUUGUUCUUACUUGAACAUCAACGAUUUUUAUGUUGGAGUUGUAUGAUAAACUUGCAUUUGAUUGACAUCAAGUUAUGCAGGUCACAGAUCCAUAAUCCAAAACUUACAGCAAUCUUGGCUCAGACAGGUUUAUUAGAUAAAGCGCAGUGUCCCACCUAUUGCUUUUAUUUCUACCUGCUACCAUUCUGGAGUAGUGAAUUUUGGAGAGAUCACAUUAUUUUUCUGUGGAAAUGUAUAUGUUUCUAUUUCAGGAAUUGCUAAUCAGACAAGGAAGGGAAAUUCUCCUUAACAAGUGUCAGGCCCAGUGGAGCUUCUGCCGUGCAUGAUCCAAACUAACUCCAGGAAGAGCAGCUGUCCUUGCUCUCUUCCUGUAGGGAUGAGGAGGCUCCUGUGCUGGGGCCAGCCCUGGUAAGAAAAAGGGAGGAUGUUGCUGGCGUCCUAAGUAGCGGUCUCAUCAAUGCUACAGUGCACUCAGCAGGACCCAAACUGAUGUCUGAUGAUGUCUGUGCUUUGUCGGUGUCCUAAAUGACUCAGGGGACACUGAACUAUUGUGUCACUCAAGCUUGUUCAUAAUUUAGGAUAACUUGGUUCCUACAAUCACAGCAAUAGAGACACAAUUGAAUUAAUCUAUUUAUGCUGCAUAACUUGGCACCUCUGAAACUGUUGCUGAAUGAUUUCGUAUUCCUUGUAGAGAUCCAAUAAAAUCUGUAGAAAAGAGCAAUAAACACUAGCAACAGAUCAUUUCAGUUUUAGUGCAGUAUAUUUCUUUGUGACUGUAAGAAGGAUAACGUGCAUGAAAAAAAUAAAUGACCCUUCUCCUUGACUGCGAAGUGUUGCUGAUUUUUCUUACUGUCCUUCUAAGUAAGAAACUUCAGUUUCUCUUUCAGGAGGGCUAAAUUGAUGGUAAUGUUGACAGACAAAAAGAAAAUCAAUUACAUUUUCAAUGCAGAUAUUAAUUUAGAGGUGGUCUGUGGACUAAUGUUACAAGAAAUUUUACUUUAAAAUUACAUUAUGACUGACUAACAUUAAUCUGUUUCAUUUGUAAGGUAUGCAUACUAAAUAACUGAUAUAAAUAGUUGCUCCUAUUGAAAAAACACUCAACUACCAAUAAAAUUCAAGUAUAAAACCGAUGAGACAGCUUUUUAGGCACCACCCCAAUUACUCCAGGAGUUCACAAAGCAACAUCUGCAGUCAUUAAAUAGUAUCUAUUUACUGUAGAAUUUACUGAUUAGAGCAAUUAAUCUCUUAAAACAUUUGCUUUGACUCCCUUAGAGCACACAUCUCUCUCAGGCUAUUGAAGCAUUUCUCUGGCUGCAUAUUCUAAGUCAAGAAGAUACCCACUGAUUCAGUAGACUUUGGAUUAGUUCCUUGGCUGUUGUUCAAUACAGCAUGGAAAACUUUUCCCUAUCUGUCAUGUGCUAAGUAUGGAAUACGAUCACACAAUCUCUAUGCAGUGUUCAUACUGCUUCUUACAUCUUGAUAGAAUCCAGAGUAACAGACAGCUCAGCUGUGCUACAUAAUGGAAAAGAAUGAAUAAAACAAGUAGAUCAGGGUCUGUACAAUAUAAUGCAGAAGUACCAUUGCAAGGAGCCAGCCAAUGUUACAAAUCCUGUUUCAGUGCUGGGCUUGCAAGACUCAGGCUAUUCUCCAGAAUUCUUGAUUGUGAACUUUAACUCAUGCACAGAUAAAACUUGGAUCCAUUGAGCCUAUUACUCAAAGCUCUGUGGGAAAGUAGGUGUACAUCUGGGUCUGUUCCAGCCCUGGAAGCAGUACAGCUGUAUUAACAAUGUGCUUCGUGUAUCACUAAAUGCCCUGCUGGACUUGAUGUUUUGUAUCCCUAGCACGGAUGAUCAACAGAGCACAUUACCUGCUUAAGGAUAAAUGAGAGUUGGCUGCAUUUGCCAAAUGUGAAUCAGUGUUUCUGUUAGAUGUAGUGUGUAAACUUGAAGUUAUAUACAGUUCUUUUAGACCACCAGUUCCAUAGGAUUCUUAUUAUCUUUUUGAUUGUUAAUAAUAAUAAAAAAAAGAAUGUUGGCAAGAAAAACAACUGUAGGCUAAUCACAUAUCAAAAAAUGUUAUUAAAAAUAAAAUUAUAUCUCAAAGUUUUUAAUAGGUUUUUGCUGUAAUAUAAUUACAUACUAAAAACAAAUUGAAAAUUGGUAUUUUAUCACAGAAUCAUAGAAUAUCUUGGGUUGGAAAGAACCUUAAAGUCUACCUAGUUCCAACCUCUGCUUUGGGCAUGGCUGCCACCCCCCAGCUCAGCUGCCCAGGCCCCAUCUAACUUGGUUUCCAAUACCUCCAGGGAUGGGGCACUCACAAUUUCUCUGGGCAGUUGUGCCAGUGCCUCACCACCCUCUGAGAAAAAAGAAAUCCUGAUGUGUAAUCUAAAUCUCCUACCUUUUAGUUUGAAAACAUUACCCCAAGUGAUGAUUAAAGUAUUGUAUUAAAUGCUUCCUUACAUUGCUAUAAGAGGGCCUGAACCUUGGAGAUUAAAUGGAAGAAAAAGAAAAAGCCAGUGUAAGAUGUAGUAAGUAAGAAUAAGAGUAAAUAUUUGAAAUGUAUUGGAGCAGGUCCGGAGGAGGACCAUGAAGAUGAUCAGAGGGCUGGAACAUCUCCCACAUGAGGACAGCCUGAGAGAGCUGGGGUGCUUCAGUAUGGAGAAGGCUCUGAGGAGACCUUAUAGUGGCCUUCCAGUACCUGAAGUAUGCCUACAGGAAAGCUGGGGAGGGACUUUUUGUAAGAGCUACAGGAUGAGGGGAAAUGGUUUUAAACUGAAAGAGGGUAGAUUUAGAUUAGAUAUUAUGAAGAAAUUCUUAACUGUGAGGGUGGUGAGACACUGGAACAGGUUGCCCAGUGAGGUUGUGAAUGACCCUUCCCUGGACGCAUUCAAGGCCAGGCUGGAUGGGGCUGUGAACAACCUGGUGUAGAGGGACAUAUCCCUGCCUACAGCAGGGGGAUUGGAACUAGGUGAUCUUAAAGGUCCCUUCCAACCCAAACCAUUCUAUGAUUCUAUUCUAUGAAAUUAAUUAGUUAAUAAUAAUAGUUCUGUAUUGUAAUUGAAAGCCUUAAAAAAAAGUAUAUUCUUACAUAUGAUCAAAGUAUAUCACAAAGAAACAGAAAAAAAAAAAAAGCUAAAGAAAGGUCAAUGUCAGUUGAAGUUAUUCAGGACAGUAUAUCAGUGGAUAUAUAUAUCAUGGAUCCAUUUAAUCAUGUUGAUCUGUUGAACUGCAGGUAUGCAGAUUCAAAUAAGAUAAUUCUGAGAUUCAGAAUUAUAUUUACAGUUCAUUUUAAAAUGCUGGCCCAAGGAAAAUUAUUGUUGUCUGGCAAAGUAUCUCUUAGUCUGUUAUUCUGCUUUGUACAAAUGUAUUUAAAACAAAUGUAUGUAUGUCGAAGGACAUUUGAAAGACAGGGAUUUUUAGUAGAAAUUUUGUGUGAGUCUUCUGAAUCUACUCAGAAAUUUAAAAUAUCAGGAGCCUUACAGGAUUUACCUUCCCAAGGAUUGACAAACAGGCUGAUUCGGUAAGAUGAAACAGUAAUUAAGUACUUUCAUAUAUUCAGUUCCAGACGGGUUAGUAACACAUUCCAAGCUGAUAUGAAUGGCACAAUUUGUCCUCUGGAAUUGCAUCUUUCUCUCCACUAAGAAUGAAGUGAAGGCCAGAGAGGUGAAGCUCCAUUCCUAUAACCAGGCUUGCACAUCUUUACACUCUGUAAGUCUGGCUCAGCUACAGAUACUUAUGCACACGAAUAACCUUUUCACAUCAAUAUCCUCCUGAAGACCACAGAGUAACAGUUAACUGAAGAAAAGAAUGUGUAUACAUCUCUAGGGUCAUACCUCAUUCUGUGUCUCUAUUUUUGAAUAUGUUUCCAAUUCAGAGGUUACUGUUAAAAAUUCUUGCACAUCAUAAGGCUUAUGUUCAGGAAAGAGGGUGUCAUCAAUGACUGUGUAUCUCAGGGCAUUAUGUCCUUUCUAAGGAAACAGAAAACUGUGGUGAGUAGCAGCGAAGAAAUUGUCUAGUAUAAAACUGAAACUGAAAUUUAUUUUCAAAGUGGAGAAAAGGGGGUGCCAAGAAGGAACACUUGCCUGAUCCAAACACACUGGCAUCUACUUUGGUGUUUUUAGUUCAGACUGUGAAUCCAAAAUAUAAUCCUGUUUUCAUUGACAGUGAAGAUCUUAACCAGCAUAGAUAUUGGCUUGGAUUGCCCAACCAAAAUCCCAGGAGUUGCUCAUUAAUUCAGCAAGCCACAUUUCCUGUAAGAGAGAAUUACCUGAAGAUAGAUUGACAAUGGUGAUCUGUUUCAGUCUCUUUCAUUACUAGAUGCUUUAGCUAUUGUUUUUCCCUGGGACAAUAGUUUUUAUUACUGCUUAUCCAUAUUUCCAGAAAUAUAGCAAAUCAUGUGCAUCUUGAAAUAAAAUGGAAGCAUGAAAAUGAUACUAAAAAUCAUUCAAAAGUCGUUGAAAAUAAAAUAUUUGUUUGUUUCAGACUUAGAAAAUAUACAGCCAGACAAUAUAAAUUAGGUAAUUUCCUUACCUGUUUCACUCUAACCUAGACAGGUUCAACAAGUUCAGAAACACUGGUGAAAAGGCAAGAUAAGAGGUAGGUAGUCUGGGCUAGCUUGUGUAUGUAUAUUCAUGAGGUGGGAUGACUGUCAGUGAGAUAUUGGUGGGAGUACUGGGUCACUUGCCUGGGUUUUGGAAUGAAAUAUCCAAAGAAAAACCAUCUUGUGUGAUCUUGAAAAUCAAUUCAUUAACAGGAAAGCUGUGUCACAUGGAGUAGUGCAUAUUAUUUCUAUUUGUAAAUAUUUUCAAGAUGCGAAAAUGACAAAGAAGGCCACACAAAUACUGUAAAAAAAGAUAGAAAUAACAGAUCCAGUACUUAUUUAGGAAAGUAAACAAAACAAAACAAAUAAACAUUUCUUUUCUCUUUUGUUUGGUGACACUCCGGCUGCAAAAAUUAGAGUUAUGGCUCUUCUAACUUCCCAGUACAAAAGAAAUACUGUUCUUUGUUCUGUCCGAAUGCCUAGGUUUUCAUGGGUUGGGUUUUCAUGGGUUGGGUUUUCAUGACUCAUUUCUCCUUUACUGCAUCUGGGUGCUGGUACCUGGAGAAAUGAAUAAGAAUGGGUAGAACAUACCCGUCUUGGUUAUCCUGCAAAUCUGAAAGUGUUUUGAUAUUCUGGUCCACACUGAUGGCAUGAGUAGUUUUUCUCUUUUAUCUCUGUCAAGAAUUUUUAGAUUUGAGAUAUCUGCUUUACAAUUCAGGUGGAGCAUGAGAGAGAACCUGGGCUGAAGUUAAAUAUGUCACAUCCAGAACACAGCAUGAAUAAUUUUCCUCUGAUUUACAGUUUGGUGUAACUUGUUAUGAAGAUGUCAGUAGUUUGUCUUUUUCUCCUUUUAAAGUGGUGACACAGUGAAUGACCAGAACAUGCUCUCUGCAUUGAUUAGUAGUAGAAGCUUUAGCAUGACUAGCUCUAAACAGACAUUUGAAAGACGAGAGAGAAGAAUUUUUUAAAAUGGCACAGUGUGAAAAUUUCACUUGUAGGGUCUUUAUAUGGAGCAAAGAGGUUAUCCACCUAAGGACAAAUAUAAAGUGCAAUGAAAGCUCAAUUUAAAAGCAAGACACCUGCAGCUUGCAGCUCAAUAAACUCUUUUUUUUUCUUUUUUUCUUUUUUUUUUGGGGGGGGGAGGAAAAUUAAUAGUGAAAGAUUGAGACUAAUUUUCAUGUUUUUAACUUCAAUACUCAAGUAUUAUCUGUUCAUCCAAUGUUUUGCUGCAACCUGUGGUUACUGUGUCUACCAUCCACACUAGACGAUGGGAAGAGGACCUGCACAAUAGGAAAUGUUCUUGCUUAACCCCAGGCAACAGCCCUAACUGAGCAUGAUAAUUCAAAAGAAGGAUUGAUCAAAAUGGGAAACUGCAGACCUCUGGUGACAUUGCAAAUGAGGUGAAGGAAACAGCACAAUUAUUUGUGUAGAUAUGGUGGCAUGGCAUCCCCCUGGAAUUCAGGCUGAGACAGGGAGACUUGGGCAACUCCUAGAAGAGACCAGUAAAGCCAGUUGCAGAACAAACUCUGUCUUCCUUUGUAUCUCAUAUUUUUCACCUGAUUUUAAAUAUGCUUUUCUCUCCACUCCUGCUGUAACGGUAAGCAGGAAUUUAUUCUUAGUUCCUAAAACAGAAGCAGGAAAGCAGUGUUAAUAAUUACUUUUACAAAUCUGUAAUGAGAUAAAAAAAACAAGUGCCUUAACCUAGGUAGAGAAGAAUUAUUUGUGGGGCUUUAGCUUUCUUUCAAUUAAGAACAAAAAUCAGAAGGAAUUCCAGUUAGAAAAAAAUGAACUUAAAAUUUUACUACGAUUGAGAAGACUCAAUAUCACAACAGUAAUACUCAGAUUGCCCAGCCUAGUGUGAAUACAGAAACAUGGGAAUAUAGUUUAUGUCUCAGCUGGAAUCAGCUUGCUCAUAUCUAUGAUACUCAAAAUUGUAUGAACUAUAUGAACAUCACUGUUUUGCUUGAUUCCUGUAAGCACAUCAUGCAACUGAGUUCUGGUGAGGAGGAAGCAAUGCUAUUUGCCUUUAUAUUAUGUGAUUUGGGUGGGAGGGCUGUGUUGUUUCUGUUGUUGUUUUUUCUUGGCAUUUGUGUUGAUAUAAUAUAUAUUCGUCAUUUAUAAUAUGCCAGUAAAAAUCUGUUAAAGAUGCUGUCGUUGAGUUACUCAAGUACAAAAAGCUUGCAGAAAUAGUAUUCUCCAAGUUUACUGUAAUUUUCAAGAAGCUUAUAAAAUGUAUAUACAUUUGAAGGGUUAGUUGAGAAAUUUCCCACUAGUCAUUGCUGCUAUAGUUAUGUUGUAUGAACAAAAGGCAACAUGUUUACUGUCUUUGUUUUGCUUUUUCAGGCUCUGUAAUCUGCAGUGAACCAUGCACUGAAUUUCUGCCUCUGGUGAUGGCCCAUCAGAUGAGCAGGAUGGAUCUUUCUCAUGAAAACUAAACCAGCUUGUACAUAAUAGCUAGUACAGAACAUGUGCGUGUUUGAACAGAAGAGUGAGUCUAGGUGAGAGAGAAUUGACCGGGCACUCAAAUCAACAGUUCUUCUCCGAGCAGGAGCCUGAAGAGUGGGAGUGUAAGAUGAGAGGGCAUACUUCAGUGAAGAGCAGUGCCCUGGGAAAAGGGCAAGACGUAUGGACAGUAGUCUCUGCUUGAGGAACACUACUGCAACCUGCUGAGGAUCUGCUGAAAUAACCUUGUGUUCCAGUGCCUCACCACCUGUCCUGACCUUUGCUAGGUGUGAAUGGCCACUUGCCAGCUGCUGAGAGGAAACAUGUGCUCCUCUUGCUGAUGUGAAGCUUGAGGACUUCAAAAGGCCAAUUACUCCUAACAUGGAGGUAACCAGUGUCUCACAUCUGGCCAUCCACUAUCAUACCUCAGAUAUGGCAGCCCUCCCUGCUUGUUCUCGACAUAGACUUCCAUUUCUGUUAGUAGAAAACUUUCCACAACAUCAGUUGUGUGAUAACAUCAUUAUCUUUCACCAACAAUAAAAGGUUUGAUGAAGCUGUUAUAACAUAUAAGAAAUCUGCUGGUUGUUCCUCCACAUCUA